UGUACAAACAGGUUCUCACAGACACACACAGGUGUACAAGCAGGUUCUCACAGACACAUACAGGUGUACAAACAGGUUCUCACAGACACACACAGGUGUACAAACAGGUUCUCACAGACACACACAGGUGUACAAACAGGUUCUCACAGACACAUACAGGUGUACAAACAGGUUCUCACAGACACAUACAGGUGUACACACAGGUUCUCACAGACACACACAGGUGUACAAACAGGUUCUCACAGACACACACAGGUGUACAAACAGGUUC